rnacentral:rRNA from 1 species
UACGUAGGGUCCGAGCGUUGUCCGGAAUUAUUGGGCGUAAAGGGCUCGUAGGCGGUUCGUCACGUCGGGAGUGAAAACUCGGGGCUUAACCCCGAGCCUGCUUCCGAUACGGGCAGACUAGAGGUAGGUAGGGGAGAUCGGAAUUCCUGGUGUAGCGGUGAAAUGCGCAGAUAAUCAGGAGGAACACCGGUGGCGAAAGGCGGAUCUCGUGGGCCUACCUGACGC